UGGCGAUGCGGGAUGAACCGAACGCCGCGCUAAGGUACCCAAGUGUCCGCUCAUCAGAGACCACAAAAGGCGUUGGUACCUCCAGACAGCAGGACGGUGGCCAUGGAAGUCGGAACCCGCUAAGGAGUGUGUAACAACUCACCUGCCGAAGGUACUAGCCCUGAAAAUGGAUGGCGCUCAAGCGGACCACCGAUGCGCGGCCGCCGGCGCGAGUGCGAGGCGCCGGCGAGUAGGAGGGCGCGGGGGUCGCGGCGCAGCCUUGGGCGUGAGCUCGGGUGAAGCGUCCUCCGGUGCAGAUCUUGGUGGUAGUAGCAAGUAUUCAAAUGGGAACUUUGAAGACUGAAGUGGAGAAAGGU
rnacentral:rRNA from 1 species